CAUUCGGGGUACUCGAGCGGCGAACGGGUGAGUAACACGUGAGCAACCUGCCCUAGGCUUUGGGAUAACCCCGGGAAACCGGGGCUAAUACCGAAUAGGACCUCUGACCGCAUGGUUGGUGGUGGAAAGUUUUUCGGCCUGGGAUGGGCUCGCGGCCUAUCAGCUUGUUGGUGGGGUGAUGGCCUACCAAGGCGACGACGGGUAGCCGGCCUGAGAGGGCGACCGGCCACACUGGGACUGAGACACGGCCCAGACUCCUACGGGAGGCAGCAGUGGGGAAUAUUGCACAAUGGGCGGAAGCCUGAUGCAGCGACGCCGCGUGAGGGAUGACGGCCUUCGGGUUGUAAACCUCUUUCAGCAGGGACGAAUCGUAAGUGACGGUACCUGCAGAAGAAGCGCCGGCCAACUACGUGCCAGCAGCCGCGGUAAGACGUAGGGCGCGAGCGUUGUCCGGAUUUAUUGGGCGUAAAGAGCUCGUAGGCGGCUUGUCGCGUCGACUGUGAAAACCCGCAGCUCAACUGCGGUCCUGCAGUCGAUACGGGCAGGCUAGAGUUCGGUAGGGGAGACUGGAAUUCCUGGUGUAGCGGUGAAAUGCGCAGAUUUC
rnacentral:rRNA from 1 species